rnacentral:misc_RNA from 1 species
GUUCCGGAAGAGGUUGAGCAGCUUGAGGUUGGUGAGAGCGGCGAAGCUGGCGGGUAUCUCGCCGGCGAGGUCAUUGAUGGAGAGGUCGAGCGACCGAAGGCUGGUGAGAGCGCCGAGCUCCGGCGGUAUCUCCCCCGUGAGCUGGUUCAAGGCGAGGAAGAGCGUGUCGAGGCGGGACAGCCGCGCGAGCUCCGGCGGGAUGGGCCCCGUGAGCGUGCAGCUGCUCAUGUCGAGGCGGACGAGCGACUGGAGCGCGCCGAACUCGCGCGGGACCCCGCCGCUGUACUGGUUGUAGUAUCCGACGUACAUCUCCCGGAGGCGGGAGAGGCGGGAGAGCGAGGGCGGGACCCGGCCCGACAGCGCGUUGCCGUUGAGGCCCAGGUACUCGAGCGCGGCGAGGUCGCCGAAGGUGUCCGGGAUGGAGCCGUUGAAGUAGUUCCCGCCGAGGUGGAGGUAGCGGAGGGAGCGCGCGUGCGGCGCGCCCAGCGGCGGGAGCGGGCCGGACAGGUUGUUGUUGUAGACGUCGACGAUCUCGAGCGCCGGGAAGUAGGCGGCGGGGGGCGGCGGCGGGAAGGGCCCGCUGAGGUUGUUGUUGGAGAGGUUGAGGUGGCGGAGCGCGGGCAUGGACGCGAGCGCGGGCGGGAGGCGGCCGCGGAGAUAGCAGUUGGCGACGGUGAGGCUGGCGAGCGCGUCCAGCAGCGCGACCUCGGGCGGGAGCGCGCCCCCGUGGAGCGGCACGGCCGUGAGGUUGAUCGCGACGACGCGCGACGUGGCGGCGUCGCAGGUCACGCCCGUGAACGCGCAGUGCGCCGGCGGGGUCGCGGCCGGGUCCCAGUCGGACAGCGGUGCCGAGGUGGAGUUUGUGGCGGACGGGACGAGCGACGCCUUGAGCCUCGACAGCGCGUACGCGUCCCGCUCCGGCGUGGCGGAGGCGGGGGCGGGGGCGGCGGCGGCGAGGAGGAGGAGGAGGAGGAGGCCGAGGAGGAAGGUGGGAGGAGGCAUUGUGAUUGUGGCGUUGUGGUGUGGUGGCGAGGGGGGCGUGGGGGUGGCGGAUGGAAUAAAAGGGAAGCGAGCGGAGUGAGGGGCUUAGCGGUGGUGGUGGUGGAGGAGGGAAUGGGCAUAUGGAAUGGAAUCGGCGGCGGCGGGGACGGGGACGGGGACGGCGCGGGCGAGAUGAUAGGCAGGUCAAAGGCAGGUGGCAUGGCG